ensembl:lncRNA
ACUGGGAGGUCAAAUGAAGUGCUGAACCGCUUUGCCAGCACUGGCCAAAGUAGAGCAGGAUGGUGAGCAGAGUCAGAGGUAAGAGGGCAGAGAGUUGACAUGGAUGAGAUGUUCUGGGACCUGGCCAUGGCGGCAGGGGUGUCUGUCUUGCUACAGAUUUUGUGUCCUCUUUCUUUUUCUUGGACGGCCAGAGGCCCAGAGGAGAACAUGCCCAGACCAUGAAUGCCUCCUGUCUUCUGCUGCUCUCCUGGAGAUAUGUACCACGAUUCACAUGGACAAUGAAACAAAUAUAUGUGAUCGGAGUAAUACCAGGCUUACUGUACUUCUGGGCAUCAGUUGAAGGCCACUGCCCUGGUCAUGCUAUGGGCAUGGCAGUGCAUGCAUCUUGCUGUCAAUUCCCUGUGUCUCGUAGGCAUUGGUGCUAUGGCUAACACUGGGAGAUCUUAGCUCACUUCCUUUUCAGAAACAGCCCCAGACUGUCUCAUUCUCAAUCAUGAUGUGGCUGUGGGCAGAAAGUGCUUUUCAGAGAAAAAGGCAGCGCCCAUCGAGUGGCCCCGACCCAAGUGACAUGGGAAGUACCCGUGUGUUGGUGUGGUUUUACUUGUCCCUUCAGGGGAUCAAAUUAUGUCCAGAAACAUAUGAUUUGUUUGCUUCAACAGUUUAAUUUACAGUGGCACAUGCUCCUAAUAAAAACCAUGUGACUGCCCAGGAGGGUUUCAACUCCACACUUUUUUUUUUCUACUCUAAGCAUGAGCAUAAAAAGGGAUGAAUAUUUAAGAAGUCACAAAUUACUGGGGCAAGAACGAUGAUGCAGAAUGUAUCAGUACUUCUGUUUAGCCAGGAUACAUCUGCUGAGAAAAAAAUAAAUUCUAUAUCUCAAUUUUCUAUUUUAGUUUCUCAAGGGCAAAAUUUGUGUUCCUCACAGAGGCACUUAUGAAAACAUCACCAUUUUUUUUUGUAUCUUACUUAAGUGCUAGGAGACUAGUGAUGUAUUAUGAAGUUGUAGACAUCCCUUGUGGAUUACACAUGUGCAUUACAAACAAGCAAUGUGACAGCUAGUUUGUGCAAUUUUAAGUUAUCUGUUUCGAAUCAGGCAAUGAGAAGCACAACACACCCACAUUAUGGUUUACUUUUUUUUUUUUUCUUUUUUUUUAACUGUCAUUGCUCAGGAUUGCAAGUACAUGAAAACUUUCCAAAUAUUAGUAAAUCUCUUCUUUAAAUUCUUGAGUAUUCUUGAGAACGGUACCUGGCUGCAAUUUGAAUUCAAAUAUUCUUCUUACAACAUGUCUUCACUUACAAAAUGUUGGGCUACAAGACAUUUAGUAGCAAGUAAUUAAAUCUUCACCACAGUGGAAACUGGAAGUGCAUGCACCUUAAAGGGUAGCCAAAAUGUAAUUUCUCUAACUUACAUGAAGAGACACUCAUACUCUCAUACGCUGUGUCAAGUACUG